CAGCGCUCCUGUACAGUUUCCCACUGGCCACUUUCUGGAGGGAGCACAGAGUCGACAGAGAACAUGGUCUUCGAAGCCAGUAUCCGUCUUUCCUCCUACUGGGUGCCAAGGGGAACUGAAGAGGACCAAAAUAUUCCAAAGAAUUUUAGCAGAACGGUAUUGUAAAAGAUAAGAUGAACAGAAUGAAACGCUUCUUUUAGCAUUCAAUGAGAUGGUGGUGGUACAGAGAUAAAAAGUGUAAAGUCAGGUGAAAAGAGCUGGGAUGGAGCCAGAAGACCUGAAAGUGAUCCAGCUCUGCACUGGCAUACCGCUGGAGCAGGAAGAGUUGAAACGCAUGCUGUGAACACUUGGCCAAGGUCUCUACCAGAGCUACAGAAAUCCCGAGCGGAAGCGUGAACGUGUGGACAUGAAACUGCCUGGGUCCACCCUCAAGCCCACUCUCCACCCCUCCCGGUGUUCUCGUAGCCCCCAGCGUUGCCAGCGACUGGCGGAGGAUACCGACGGCUGGCCGCGCCUCCAUCUCUCCAGGGUGAGCCAUGUGACACGGGGCAGGCUCUCAGCGCGCGGUUCACCGGAAGGUCCCGGCACAGCCCGGGCAUGUCAGCGGAGGAUCGGCAGGCAGUGCAGAGACUUGUCAUCGGCAGCCCAGGCGGAGGUCCGCUCUGAAAGGCUUUGUUUCCCUGCUCGCCCAGUGGGCAUCCUGCCUCACCAAGCGCCUACCCGAGGCCGGGCCGCGAGAGGCGCGGGGCACGGAGGCAUGUGCAGGGAGGAAAACAGGUAAUAGUGGAAAAGAUGCCAUGUCUGAAAAUUUCCAUGAAGCUCCUUGAGACCGUGGGGCACUGAGAGGGAGCUCCAUGAGACAAGCAUUUGAGCUCCUCUUAUAGUCCCUGUCUAAUCAGAGAUCCUUGUGGAGGUGGGGAAGCAACCUCUCUCUUCUGUGAUACAUGUUUGAUGAGGGUAAUACAAUGCAGGAAAGGAUGCCAUUUCCCUUAUGCUCCACAUGCUUUCGUAAGAUUUUCUUUCUUUUUUUUUUUGAUUUUAUAAACUAUUACAUACUCAUUGUCUAUAAUAAAUGUGCUUAAAAAUAAUGGUAAUAUAUACUAAUAAUUCUGCCACCCACCUCUCACUGUUUUGCCAUAUUUCUGGGACUCUACCCCGCCUUCUCCUUAGUGACUGAGAGAUCUUUGAAAUGUGCAUGGCUUCAGUACCAUCUCUAUGCAGAUAAUUCCUUAACUUUCAUUUUCAGUUUUGCUGCUGCUUCCUGCCAUAAUCCCCUAUCUUCUUAGCUGCAAUUUUACAUCUCCCUGGGCAUGGCCAUUUUCAAUUUUAAUUUCUUUUUUUCUUUUGUUUUGGUGAGGAAGAUUGGCCCUGAGCCAACGUCUGUUGCCAAUCUUCCUCUUUUUGUUAGAGGAAGAUUGUUGCUGAGCUAACAGCUGCACCAGUCUUCCUCUAUUUUAUGUGGGAUGCUGCCACAGCAUGGCUCAAUGAGUGGUGCUAGGUCUGCACCCAGGAUCUGAACCUGUGAACCCCAAGCGGCCAAAGUGGAGCAAGUGAACUUAACCACUACGCCACCUGGCCAGCCCCUUCAGUUUUAAUUUCUAAAUGUCCAAGACUGAGUUCCAGGCCUUCUGGUCCAGACAAGACAGUAUUUACUCAUUUUUUCUCAUGUCCACAAGUUCAACUACAAACUCUGGAAACAACACAAAGAUGGUCACAGGAGGACUCUAAAGUGGAAAGAGGGAAGCACACUGGUCUGGGAUUCAGGAAGGAGUGGCACAGUGCAGGCUUAGGGCCCCAUCCAACAGAAGGUGGCCCAGGUGUGCCCAUUCCUCCCUGGAUGACACAAGGUCAGCCCACAGAACCUACAGGGGUGUUGGUGCAGAGGUUUGCUGACACCAAGAGGCCAGGGAAUGGGUUGUCCUUCCCACUGAGGAUGCCAACACACGCUCUUUAUCCCUAGAGGAUAAAGAAUCCUUGGAGACCCCCUUUCCCUUCCUAGAGGCACUGUGGGGCCAGGAAGAUCCACUAAAACUGGUUCUCAGGCCCAGAAGUGCUCUUCAAGCCCAAGAGCAGAAAUUCCUUCUACCAUCUGAAGAUGCCAGGCAACUGGGCAGCCAGGGACCAGCAGAUUCAGCCACAACAAGCAGCCACUCACCCAGGGAAUGCUCUCUGCCAGGCUGAACCUGAGACUUCUCUUCUCUCCUUAGGGACAAGGGACAGCCAGGUAGCAACAGGGGGCUAUCUUGUUACAGUAAGCACUGGCCUAGAAAAUGUUUUGUUU
rnacentral:lncRNA from 1 species